GCCCACACGCCGAAGCUGGUUUAUGUGGCUCGGGAAAGGGAAGUUUGGGGUCCCCUGCUGGAACUGAGCCCCCGCAACCCGACCCCGAAUAAGUGGAUGAACAUGGAUGAAUGGAUG